rnacentral:lncRNA from 1 species
CCGAACCCCACCGAACGCGUCCGCCGCCUCCCGAUCCCGCCCCGCGGUCCCCCCCGGGGCAUGAACCGCCCCCCGGCGGGCCGAAACCGGCCAAACCGGCAAAACCGCCCCGAUCAUGCCCGUUUUUCGGCGUUCAAACCGCCGCGCGGCUACCCCCCCAUCCCGAUGCCCCCGGACCCCUGGUCCCGUGGGACCUGACGGAAACGGAGUCGGAUGCCCGGAUCAUGAGAUACGCCCAAAACCGUCUAAACCUACUGAGCGCACCCCGAACAUGCCCAUUUUUCGGCGUCCAAACCGCCGCGCGGCUACCCCCCCAUCCCGAUGCCCCCGGAACCCUGGUCCCGCGGGACCCGACGGAAACGGAAUCGGAGGCCCGGAUCAUGAGUUACGGCCCCUUCUUUGCGGCCCCCGAGGACGUGCGCUAUAGCCCCCCGGGCCACCCCCCAUCCGGCCGCACCCGCCCGAACCCCACCGAAUGCGUCCGCCGCCUCCCGAUCCCGCCCCGCGGUCCCCCCCGGGGCAUGAACCGCCCCCCGGCGGGCCGAAACCGGCCAAACCGGCUAAACCGCCCCGAUCAUGCCCAUUUUUCGGCGUUCAAACCGCCGUACGGCUACCCCCCCCAUCCCGAUGCCCCCGGACCCCUGGUCCCGUGGGACCUGACGGAAACGGAAUCGGAUGCUCGGAUCAUGAGAUACGCCCAAAACCGUCUAAACCUACUGAGCGCACCCCGAACAUGCCCAUUUUUCGGCGUUCAAACCGCCGCGCGGCUACCCCCCCAUCCCGAUGCCCCCGGAACCCUGGUCCCGCGGGACCCGACGGAAACGGAAUCGGAGGCCCGGAUCAUGAGUUACGGCCCCUUCUUUGCGGCCCCCGAGGACGUGCGCUAUAGCCCCCCGGGCCACCCCCCAUCCGGCCGCACCCGCCCGAACCCCACCGAACGCGUCCGCCGCCUCCCGAUCCCGCACUGCGGUCCUCCCCGGGGCAUGAACCGCCCCCCGACGGGCCGAAACCGGCCAAACCGGCUAAACCGCCCCGAUCAUGCCCAUUUUUCGGCGUUCAAACCGCCGCACUGCUACCCCCCCAUCCCGAUGCCCCCGGACCCCUGGUCCCGUGGGACCUGACGGAAACGGAAUCGGAUGCUCGGAUCAUGAGAUACGCCCAAAACCGUCUAAACCUACUGAGCGCACCCCGAACAUGCCCAUUUUUCGGCGUUCAAACCGCCGCGCGGCUACCCCCCCAUCCCGAUGCCCCCGGAACCCUGGUCCCGCGGGACCCGACGGAAACGGAAUCGGAGGCCCGGAUCAUGAGUUACGGCCCCUUCUUUGCGGCCCCCGAGGACGUGCGCUAUAGCCCCCCGGGCCACCCCCCAUCCGGCCGCACCCGCCCGAACCCCACCGAACGCGUCCGCCGCCUCCCGAUCCCGCCCCGCGGUCCCCCCCGGGGCAUGAACCGCCCCCCGGCGGGCCGAAACCGGCCAAACCGGCUAAACCGCCCCGAUCAUGCCCAUUUUUCGCCGUUCAAACCGCCGCACGGUUACCCCCCCAUCCCGAUGCCCCCCGACCCCUGGUCCCGUGGGACCUGACGGAAACGGAAUCGGAUGCUCGGAUCAUGAGAUACGCCCAAAACCGUCUAAACCUACUGAGCGCACCCCGAACAUGCCCAUUUUUCGGCGUUCAAACCGCCGCGCGGCUACCCCCCCAUCCCGAUGCCCCCGGAACCUUGGUCCCGUGGGACCUGACGGAAACGGAAUCGGAUGCUCGGAUCAUGAGAUACGCCCAAAACCGUCUAAACCUACUGAGCGCACCCCGAACAUGCCCAUUUUUCGGCGUUCAAACCGCCGCGCGGCUACCCCCCCAUCCCGAUGCCCCCGGAAACCCUGGUCCCGCGGGACCCGACGGAAACGGAAUCGGAGGCCCGGAUCAUGAGUUACGGCCCCUUCUUUGCGGCCCCCGAGGACGUGCGCUAUAGCGAGGACGUGCGCUCCCCCAUCCGGCCGCACCCGCCCGAACCCCACCGAACGCGUCCGCCGCCUCCCGAUCCCGCCCCGCGGUCCCCCCCGGGGCAUGAACCGGCCCCCGGCGGGCCGAAACCGGCCAAACCGGCUAAACCGCCCCGAUCAUGCCCAUUUUUCGGCGUUCAAACCGCCGCACGGCUACCCCCCCAUCCCGAUGCCCCCGGACCCCUGGUCCCGUGGGACCUGACGGAAACGGAAUCAGAUGCUCGGAUCAUGAGAUACGCCCAAAACCAUCUAAACCUACUGAGCGCACCCCGAACAUGCCCAUUUUUCGGCGUUCAAACCGCCGCGCGGCUACCCCCCCAUCCCGAUGCCCCCGGAACCCUGGUCCC